rnacentral:rRNA from 1 species
UCCAGACUCCUACGGGAGGCAGCAGUGGGGGAUAUUGCACAAUGGGGGAAACCCUGAUGCAGCGACGCCGCGUGUGGGAAGACGGUCCUCUGGAUUGUAAACCACUGUCCCCAGGGACGAAGAUGACGGUACCUGGGGAGGAAGCUCCGGCUAACUACGUGCCAGCAGCCGCGGUAAUACGUAGGGAGCGAGCGUUGUCCGGAUUUACUGGGUGUAAAGGGAGCGCAGGCGGCCUUGCAAGUCUGAUGUGAAAGGCCGGGGCCCAACCCCGGGACUGCAUUGGAAACUGCGAGGCUGGAGUGUCGGAGAGGCAGGCGGAAUUCCUAGUGUAGCGGUGAAAUGCGUAGAUAUUAGGAGGAACACCAGUGGCGAAGGCGGCCUGCUGGACGAUGACUGACGCUGAGGCUCGAAAGCGUGGGGAGCAAACAGGAUUAGAUACCCUAGUAUG